GAGAGUGCGGUGAUGAUGCUAAUUGUGGACUAGAGUUUCUGAUCUGGGUUUUACACCCUGAAUCUGAUUGACAAACCCUUGGCUGUCUGAGCACUUAU